UACGAAGGGGGCUAGCGUUGCUCGGAAUUACUGGGCGUAAAGGGAGCGUAGGCGGACGGUUAAGUCAGGGGUGAAAUCCUGGAGCUCAACUCCAGAACUGCCUUUGAUACUGGAGAGCUCGAGUCCGGAAGAGGUGAGUGGAACUGCGAGUGUAGAGGUGAAAUUCGUAGAUAUUCGCAAGAACACCAGUGGCGAAGGCGGCUCACUGGUCCGGUACUGACGCUGAGGUGCGAAAGCGUGGGGAGCAAACAGG
rnacentral:rRNA from 1 species